rfam:Gossypium hirsutum cultivar TM-1 unplaced genomic scaffold scaffold1149.1, whole genome shotgun sequence
UGUUAAAAAAUUUAUCAAUUCAUACUAUUAAAAACUGGUAUAUCUGAUGAAAUAACUAGAAAGUGCACGUAGCAUAUCACGUGUACCUCAUUUUGACGAACAAUGACUAGUUUUUAAUCGUAAAAAUGAAUGAAAUUUUUAAUA